rnacentral:rRNA from 1 species
UACGUAGGCAGCAAGCGUUGUUCGGAGUUACUGGGCGUAAAGGGUGCGUAGGCGGCCCUAUAAGUAUGGUGUGAAAUCUCUUGGCUUAACCGGGAGGGUGCGCUAUAGACUGUGGGGCUCGAGCGUGGGAGAGGAAAGUGGAAUUCCUGGUGUAGCGGUGAAAUGCGUAGAUAUCAGGAGGAACACCGGUGGUGUAAACGGCUUUCUGGACCAUAACUGACGCUGAGGCACGAAAGCGUGGGUAGCAAACGGG